AUAUAUAUAUAUACAUAUACAUACAUAUACAUCUCAAAGGACUCUUUCAUCUCUGUGUUCAGCCCUCAUUAACCACAGGGCCUUUAUGUGCUAUGUCAGAGCUCUCUGAUAUCCGUCUUCAUCUAGUUAAUUCCUCGUCUCUGCUUCUUACUUAAAAAAGUUUUCAUGAUUUCCCUAAAAACAAGUUACUCUAGGCUACCCCACUGCUAUCAGGCUCCUAGCCCCAGCAGGAUCAGUAGCCGCAUUUUCGCCCUGUCUUUGUGGGUACUCUAUGUCUGUGUUACCAUUAGACUGAACUCUACAAGAGGGAUUCUGUGUUCUGGGAACUAACACAGAGUAAAUGAACGAAUGGUGUGUGAUCAAUGAGUGAGCAAAUGUCUGAUGAAAAGCAGAAGUGAGCACAUGACCAAGUAGUCAAUGAGGGCCAGGAAAGGAUCGAGGGACUUCUUUUUCAGAAUAAAAGAGGAUGUGGUGUUUGAGGAAGCACAACAUAGCACGGAGACAGAGGGAGGUGCCACAGCAGGAGCCAGAAGAAGGCUGAAAGGAGGGGCAUGUGCCAGGCCAAGGAGUCCUUCCUGAUUGUUCAAAGGAAAGCUUCAUUCACAUAGUAAUCCUCCACCCAGGCCAGGACAUCCAUGGUUCUUACAGGGAUCUUCCAGAAUCCUAGGACCCAGGAGGUGCCAGAAACUGCUGCCUCUCACCUGUUGAUGGAGCUGACACUGGGCACAGUGUCAUUGUCACAAACGCCUUCUGCCAAGAGCCGGUCCCGGAUCUCCCAAGCAAACAUGGUUUUGGCCAAUAGACACCUGUGUAAGCUGUGUACUGGGCUUGGGACAGAUGCCGAAGGCCCCGAGGAGAAGAGAUGCUCCAAAAUUCUGAAGCAGAGCAAACUGGUAGGGCUGACAGUGUCUUCUGAGCAAAGGAUCCUGCCUGAACAAUGUGCCCUCAAUGUGUCCUCAGGGUACAAAAAGCUGGAUUCUGUGAAGAAUACGUCCUUAUAAUUGCCACUAGUAACUGUCCAAAUCAAGGAAGAUCCACCAUGAAGUCCAGGGACCCAGUGUUAUUAGAUGCUGCUACUAGCGAAUGCUCACCUGUCCCUGAACCUCAGAUCACAAGAGCAAUGCUGAACUCAAGAGUGUCUACUGAACCUCCAUGAUGAUCCAUGUGCUUUAAUUUCAUAAGGUCAGGGAAGCAGGGCAUGGCUGGAUACACCAUAUUCCCUUAUUCAGAUCUGAAACCAAGGUGGUAUGGGCUGUUACCCUAUUCAGAAAUCAUCCCACAAUCAAGAGCAGAGACCCUGGAAGCUUAGAUUCUACAUCCCUACUUGAUCUAUUAUCACUUCCUUGUAACUGUGUAUUCAACCAGGACAUAACCAGCCACACCUGUAAUUUCAUACCUGAGUCUCUAGGGGUCUCUGAGAAAGAGGUGCUUCUCUUUGCCAUUUAUCACCUCUAGUUCUACAACAAUUUCUAAGCAUUGAAAGUCUUAUUCCCAGUAUGUAUAAGAAGGUAGUGCAUGCAAGCUUAUAACUGACAUAUAUAUGGAAGACUAAACUGAAAACGGCCAGGCAUCCAGACUACAAAAUUCAGGAAGCCACUCAUUCAUUCUCAGAACUGACCAUGUCCUUGCCCACAAGAAAGAGGCUCGUGAACCUUUAUAGUUCUCUCUAGUUCCAGCUGUGUGUGUGUGUGUGUGUGUGUGUGUGUGUGUGUGUGUGUGUGUGCAUCUAGGUGUGUCUCAGCAGCUCUCAGUGGACUUCAGCCUGUGAAGGAGGCCCUUUCUUCCCUUUCUCUAAACCCUGCUUACUCAGAAAAGACUGAAGACAUCUCUCUCUCUCUCUCUCUCUCUCUCUCUCUCUCUCACACACACACACACACACACACACACACACACACACACACCUCAUCUUAGAGCUUCUUAAUCCACCCUCCCCACACAAAAUCACUGAGAGAGCUGUGGUCUUUAAAAAGAGGUCCUUGGUUUGACAGAAGGACUGUAGGACCUGGAUCCAGGUGUGUAAACCCCAGUCUCUGUCAGUACAGUGUGAUGACAGGGCCUCAUCUUUGACUCUCCUUGACCUGAUCACUUCCGGGGCCAGUUGGGCUAUUUAGCAUAAUUAAAUACUAUGCAGUUCUUGGAGUUUGUGUUUGAGUAUCUGACAGACCCUCAGGUAGCUCAAGCCUAGAAUAUAGGAGUCAUAAAGAUAAAUACCACUAUGCAAAGUGGACCACAAGCUGCCAUAGUUGCAGCAGUAAGAGUUCUUGAGGAAAUGAGGAAGAGGGAAAAUAGUGGAAAGUUUUAUAGGAGGAAGGGAGUCUGAUGAGGAUGGCUCCUUUGCAGGCAGCAAGUGCUUCACACACAUGACCCUGACCCUCCGAAGCAGGACCAGUGAGUCCCAACAGCUGACAAAAUCAACAGCUCCUUAACUCGCACAGUAUAGACAGUCAGAAGAGCGUCAAAGCAGGCCAGCCUUCUAAAGCAGCUCAAGAUGGAUGAUGUCUACGUGGGGCAGAUUGACAAACACAGAACAAAAGUACUCUGCAAAUGGCGAGAGGCUGAGACAACUGUGUCUACACUACAUGAUAGAGAACAAUUAAUAGAGAGGUGAAACCAAACAACAUGGCUGGGCCAGUGCUGACGUGCGGCUGGGCCUCUGGUAUGUCCAGGCAAAGGAUCCCUUCCAUCUGAUAGAGCCUAGCAUUUCAGCUCUGCAGAAGUGCACAUCUGUCCACGACACUGGCACCUAUAAUUCUACCUCAUUUUGAGCUGUCCAGCCAUAUGGAGAUGAAACUCCAAUGUAGGCUUCCCUGGAGAUUGCUGAUCCUACCCAGGCUCUCAGGAUACCUUUCUGGAGCAGAAUACUUUUAGGAUCCACCAGACCACAGAUGGCCACAGGAGGUCUUUAUGUCAGCCAUGAUGAUGUGGUUUCUCUCUAGUAGCGGUUCAAGGUAAAUGACCUCAGCUUCCUGGUGCUCCCAACUGACCUGUCUGUCUGUGUUUGUCCUUGUCCUGCCCCUUUCUGUCUGUUCUGUUCAUUCCCAGUUCUGGUACUCUGGGUCUGUUCCCUUUAAAGGUAUUCACAAGAAUCCAUUUCCCUGACCUAGAUAGGUACCUCUCAUCUCUUCAUGAUAAAAGCCCAGACAUUCACCUUUUUUUUUUUUUUUGUUCUGGCCACAAAUGCUACCGCCCCUGGCACAGUGCCCUAAGUAUGGUAGGUGGUGCUUCACGUAGGCUAGUUAAGCUGAAAUAAACUGCCGCUUCUCAGACUCCAGCUGCUUUCUAGAUUGACUCUAGCACUGUUUUUCCUUGCCUAUGAGCCUUCCCCUUGCUUCCACCUCAGAGUGGAAAAAAAUCAGACACUCAUCACAAGAGGAGUCUGUGCACGUGGAGAGGUCACUCACAAGUGCUACAUGCACUUUGAGGUUUCUCAAGAACCAAGUCAGCACCAGGAUGAAGGCGCAAAGCUGAGCUCAAGUCCUCGGUUAGCGCUCUGUGACCACGGCUUAAAUGUCAGCCAGGGUCUGUCAUCAGGCUCGAACUGGGCUAUUAUUGCGCAAAGCAAGGACAUAGAAGACAGGUGGAGAGAAAGAGAGAUGGGGAGAAAAGAGAAGAAAGCAGAAAACUGGAGAUGUUUAAUUGCUGAAAACUAAGUGGUAUGGAUCUGAGUUAGAAAUGAAUUUCUAAGGCAAGUGUUUGCAUGUCCUGUCUUAGCUGCGUACACAGUGCCACUGCAAACCCACAGGGGCUCUCUGGCAGACUCAUUAGGUCUUACAGCAGUGGUUCUCAACCUUCCUAAUGAGGCCCUUCGUAACAGUCCCUCAUGCUGUGGUGGCCCCAACCAUAAAAUUGCUUUCACUGCUGCUUCAUAAUUCUAAUUUUUCUGUUAUGAGUUGUGAUGCAAAUAUUCUUACAGAUAGAGGUUUGUCAAAGGGGCUGGGACCCACAGGUUGAGAACCACUGUCCUUGCAUGUUCUGGAUCCUAACCUAAAGUCCACAGACCUCAUUCUAUUAGAGGCUUAGUGCCCCAGCUACCGCUGGGCUGUCCUGUGAAAUGGCUUUCUAGCUAAGACAGUGCAACAGUUCCCAUCGGCUGUGGGGACCCUAGUGAGUUUUCCUUUACUUAUCUCAGCAGCUGUGAGAUGAGCUCUGUCUACAUGGACUAUGAAAGGGCCCCUCCUAAAUCUACAAAAGAACAAAGUUUCAGCUCUGGAUCAUCUGCUGAGACAGUAGGAUAUCUGGAAUUGUGUCCUGGACACUCCGUUCCCUGGCAACCACAAUAUGGAAGAGUUGUUGUUGUUGUUGUUGUUGUUGUUGUUGUUGUUGUUGUUGUUGGUUUAUUUUGUUUUUGCUGUUUCUUUUUUGACUAGGGCUAAUGAUACAGUCCCAUUUUUAGAGUGUUUGCCUGGCAUGCAGGAAUCCUCGAGUUUGAUUCCCAACACCUUAUAAUUCAGUAGUGGAGACUCAUUGUUAUAAUCUAAACAUUCAGGAAGCAGAGGCAAGAGGUAGAGAAGUUCAUGCUAGCCUCUGCUGCCUGGGCUAUGUAAGUCCCUUUAAAACAUAAA